CAUAGGGUUACUGAGGCUAUAGGGCGUUAAAUAUGACUGCUUAAAGAUGGGUGGAGACAUGAUGCAGACAUCUGGAGGUUUUCAAAGGAAAGACUGACUUCUAAUACAUGACAUACUAAUCAAAAGUAAAGAUGACUGAAAGAAAAAUACCACAUGUUAAGGACAUUUUUGGUGGUGGAAAGGCUGGAAAGUUCAAGUACAGUGACUAUGAUGGCAAAGCUAAAAAAGAAGACGUUGAAACGACAGAAGUUGUAGAUGCUAAACUUCAAACACUAUCACACCCAGAUUUUGAUGUUACCCAGAAAAACCCAGAAUAUAAGAAGAAGUCCUUUGCCCAGUUAGCAGACCGUAAACUGCUAGGAGCUCAUGGUAAAGGUCCAGCCCCCCAGGCUCCAUCGCAAUAUGGGAACUAUGAAAAACAACAUGAUGAUACUGGUAUAGAUGGCACAGGGGUAGAAGGCAUUCUCCCUGGAAUACAAAGGAUGCCACCUACAGACUUUAACCACAAUGAUAGGGAUGGUGAUUCAGACUAUGAUGAAGGGUUCCCAAAUGUGAGUGGAAAUGGUUUUCCAGAUAUGAAUGGAUUUCUCAGCAGUAUGUCAAGCAGUUCAAAAUAUAACCCAAUUUUUGAGGAUAAACAAACACGUGAAUCAGAGCACAAUCGAGUGAACCGGAAUGUCCCUGCUUUUAUGUCCAUAUUUACUGAACCAGAAAUUGACAAUGAUGGUGAAAAUGUGACGUCAAAUGAGGAUGUAUAUAAAGAGGAUGCCUAUGAAUUAUCUGAAAGGGACAAAGAGAAUUUAACAGGAGGACCUGUAACAAGUGACGAUACAACACCAGUACCUCCUCCGAGAAAAAACAAAAUGGUGCGAAAUAAAGCACCAGACAAGGAAGGGUAUGAAAUUGAAGAAGAAGUGAUGGAAUUCUCAAGUGAGAGCGAUGAUGAGAAUAAAGCAGGUGGCGCAAAUAUCUAUCAACAAUAUGAUGGAGAUGAUUUUGGACAGUACAUUGAUAGUGAUGUUGAGGAGGACUCUGGGAUAGGUGAUGAUGGCACGACAAGGAGACGUACCAUCACGCAACCUCACAUGAAGCAGCAAAGACCCGCUAAACCCGUACCACUGCCUCCUAGGCAGUCAAGCAGAGGGGGCAUCGCAUUGAAAAAGAAGCUGGAUAAAUCACUCUCUGGGGCUCAUAAGCCUAAACGAUAUGGAAGUUCACUGCAUAAUUACAGCUAUGCAGACACUAAAAUAGGUACCGAAGAUGUCUAUGGUAAAAAGAUGUCUCUAAUGAAAAACAAAGGUCGUCCUGAGGACGAUCGUGAAAAUACAAAACUUUGGUGGAGUUAUGACAUGCUUUCUGCUCAGACAAGUGACAAUAAUGUUGAAGUUUUGUAUAAAUCACAACGAAAAAACAAUGCUGGUGAACUAUUAGCAGAGAUUGCUGGAAACAACAAAAAGAGUAACAGAGAAAUGAUAGUGCCAUCUACAAGCUAUAAUGAUAAUUUUGAGUCGUUAAGGAAGGAGAUUCAAUACGAUGCUCCUCUAAUUCCUAAGAAAGAGAGUCCUCUAAAGAAACUGACAGGAUCUAUCAGGGCUAGAACCAGCCAGGAGGUGAAUAUUUACGCUAAUGCUGCAGCUAAUCCUAUCUACCAUGACAUUCACGACAAAACAGGUUCUCAUUUUUAAAAAGCACUAGCAAUCUCAAAAAAACAUAUCAGUUUCUACUUUAAGACUUUUCUUGUGAAAUUCACAGUGGCUUCGAAAAUGAUGAAUGAGAUUGCGACUGCCAUGACCAAACAUGAAAUGAAUAUACAAACUGUACCCCACAACUAUUUUCUGGGACAGACUUCUCAAGCACUAUUUUUUCUGUAUUUUAUUAAAGGAUAACCUCAGAUUUUUCAUUGAUAUGUCUUUUCCCAUUGAAAAAUAAUUUCCCCUGUCUCAAGUGACUGAAUCAACAGACACAUGUAAUAUUCCAUCUUCAAAUGCUCAGUCUUCACUGCAUUCACACAAAAACUUAGUGAAGGAAGAUGGUGAUAUUCACAAAUGAAUGAAAAUCAUAUCUGAACAGCUUAUUUUGGCUAAUGAUAACAUCUGAUAUGCAUUACCACAACCAUGGGACAAAAACAAGUGAAGCACAUUACAAAGACAUACAUGUAGAUUUCAAUAACAAGUCCCACCAGAUCCUAAAUGCCCCUCCCCAUCUUAUAUGUUUAUGAGAGGACAGGGGUGGUAUGAGGGGAAGGUAUGACUCAAGAAUAUGAUUUGUAGAGUGCCAGUGUGUCAAUACAGUGCAGUAGUAGAAUUGACUACAGUAUGAUAAACAUAGCUAAAACACAACUCAUGUAUAUAAAGUCAAAAUUGUAUAUGAAUAUGGUUGUCUUAUUUCAAGCCCUUGUAAUUCCCACGUGAAUAUAUCUCACAUCCACUGGUGAAGUAAUUGAGAGGGCAAAGGGAGACUUGAAACAAUACAAGACUAACAAAGUAAAAGUGCACAUUGGAUAUAACUGAUAUAAAUGCAAUUAAUAUCAGAAUAUAAGACCAGUGGAUUAAACUACUUUUAAAUUACAAUUCAAUUUUUCCUGAUCUUACACAUAUGAAAAUGAAAACUUAUUUUUAUUUACAUGUAUGUAUUAUGUUGAUAGGAAAUACAACAUAUUUAUCUUAAAAUGUUGUUGAUUAUCUUUAAUGACAACAUCCCAGAUUUUUUAUGUACUUGAUGAUCGGAUAUUAUUAUAAUGAUGUAUUUAUCCUUACAUUGCCCAUGUAUAAAAUGCUUAAUGUUAUGUUAAAAGAUGAAUUCAAAUUCACAUAAAAAUACAUAAACAUUGAGCAAGUAAAAUAAGCCGAGUGCCUGAGUUCCUCACACUGAGAUGUAAAUAAUUCACAAAAUGCAGAAUUCCUAUAUGAAUGAAAGAAUGUAAUUGAAUAUAUUGAAGACAAUUCAUACUUCCAGGUCUAUGGCCAUCUGUCUUAGUGUCUUUACGAACAUAGACAUCCAUUC
rnacentral:misc_RNA from 1 species